rnacentral:piRNA from 1 species
UUGGCAGUUGCAUUUUGUGGUCAGAA